AUCGAUGAAGAACGCAGCGAAAUGCGAUAAGUAAUGUGAAUUGCAGAAUUCAGUGAAUCAUCGAAUCUUUGAACGCACAUUGCGCCCCUUGGUAUUCCGAGGGGCAUGCCCGUUCGAGCGUCAUUAUAACCCCUCAAGCUCAGCUUGGUGUUGGGGCCUGCUGUUACCGGCAGCCCUUAAAAUCAGUGGCGGUGCCAUCUGGCUCUAAGCGUAGUAACACUUCUCGCUACAGGGUCCCGGUGGAUGCUUGCUAUCAACCCCUCAACUUCUAUGGUUGACCUCGGAUCGGGUAGGGAUACCCGCUGAACUUAAGCAUAUCAAUAAGCGGAGGAAAAGAAACCAACAGGGAUUGCCUUAGUAACGGCGAGUGAAGCGGCAACAGCUCAAAUUUGAAAUCUGGCUCUUUCAGGGUCCGAGUUGUAAUUUGUAGAAGAUGCUUCGAGUGUGGUACCGGUCUAAGUUCCUUGGAACAGGACGUCAUAGAGGGUGAGAAUCCCGUAUGUGACUGGUCACCUUCGCCCAUGUGAAGCUCUUUCGACGAGUCGAGUUGUUUGGGAAUGCAGCUCAAAAUGGGUGGUAAAUUUCAUCUAAAGCUAAAUAUUGGCCAGAGACCGAUAGCGCACAAGUAGAGUGAUCGAAAGAUGAAAAGCACUUUGGAAAGAGAGUUAAACAGUACGUGAAAUUGUUGAAAGGGAAGCGCUUGCAACCAGACUUGCACGUAGUUAAUCAUCCGGGGUUCUCCCCAGUGCACUUGGCUACGUUCAGGCCAGCAUCGGUUUCGGUGGUUGGAUAAAGGCUUAGGGAAUGUGGCUCUCUUCGGGGAGUGUUAUAGCCCUAGGUGCAAUGCAGCCCACCGGGACCGAGGACCGCGCUUCGGCUAGGAUGCUGGCGUAAUGGUUGUAAGCGACCCGUCUUGAAACACGG
rnacentral:rRNA from 1 species